GACGAACGCUGGCGGCGUGCUUAACACAUGCAAGUCGUACGGUAAGGCCCUUUCGGGGGUACACGAGUGGCGAACGGGUGAGUAACACGUGAGUAACCUGCCCACAACUUUGGGAUAACGCUAGGAAACUGGUGCUAAUACUGGAUAUGUGCCCCUGCUGCAUGGUGGGGGUUGGAAAGCUCCGGCGGUUGUGGAUGGACUCGCGGCCUAUCAGCUUGUUGGUGGGGUAGUGGCCUACCAAGGCGGCGACGGGUAGCCGGCCUGAGAGGGUGACCGGCCAGCAAGAGACUGAGAUGAGGCCCAGGCAGGUACGCGAGGCAGCAGUGGGGAAUACUGAAGAAUGAGCGCCAGGCUGGUGCAGCAGGUCCGCGGGCAGGAUGACGGCCUUCGGGGGGUAGACAGCAUGCAGAAGGGACGAAGCAUUUUGUGACGGUACCUGAAGAGAAAGCAACGGCUAACUACGUG
rnacentral:rRNA from 1 species